UGUUCCCACCUUCUGAUGUUGUUUAGUCAUGUGAUACAACAUCCCAGGGCGGGGCACA
rnacentral:pre_miRNA from 1 species